GCUUGUCUCAAAGAUUAAGCCAUGCAUGUCUAAGUAUAAACAAAUCUAUACGUGAAACUGCGAAUGGCUCAUUAUAUCAGUUAUAGUUUAUUUGAUGGUUCAUACUACUUGGAUAACCGUAGUAAUUCUAGAGCUAAUACAUGCGUCAAAACCCGACUCCUGGGAGGGUUGUAUUUAUUAGAUGGAAACCAAUGCGGGGCAACCCGGUAUAUGGUGAUUCAUAAUAACUUUGCGAAUCGCAUAGCUUUAAUGCUGGCGAUGGGUCAUUCAAAUUUCUGCCCUAUCAACUUUCGACGGUAGGAUAGAGGCCUACUGUGGUGAUAACGGGUAACGAAGAAUAAGGGUUCGAUUUCGGAGAGGGAGCCUGAGAAACGGCUACCACAUCCAAGGAAGGCAGCAGG
rnacentral:rRNA from 1 species